UUCGCAACACACAAAAUAUUACACAAGUAAUGACAUCCCAAGAGAGCAAAAGUAAUACUAAUAGUCGGAAACAUUCUUUAAGCAAAAAUAUGUAAAUCUACACCAGCUGGCCUAACUUCCCGUGACCUCUACGAGCUCACUACUGGUCACCUGAAAACAAUAAAGAGUGAGGAGUGAGUAAUCUAGCAUUACACAGUGAGUUACAAUCCCCAAAAUAGCAAAUACAAUCCCUCGCUAUCCCACCCUAAACACUCUAAAAAGAGAGAUUCACAUAAUAAUAAUUAAACACAAUUCAAUGAUAAUAUAUAAACAAAGUCAGAAAUACGCAGCAGAUAAUAAUAAUAUCAAGAUAAUUAACGAUACUAAAAGAUAAUCUCUAAAACUUGCUAACUCAUAUCUCAAUAUAAACUAGGCUUGCCAAUCCCUUUAUACCAUAUAAUAUAUAUCUAUAUAGGGCUCUGGUGACAUGAGGUUCCUCCUUCAUCAUCGGCAAUAUCCUAUCUUCCUACCACAAAAGCCAGAAGAAGGAACUUUCAACCGACCGCAGCCUACAGUCCAUCGGGUCACCGCGCGACGGCCCACAAUCCUUCGGGUCACUGCCACAUUACACCGUCGUGUGAUACUCGGCCUUAGGCCAUGACCCCGUUUCUCGGAGUCUUCCUAAUCCAGCGAAAAGGUUUCCAUGAACCCGCUGCGUAUGUGGUCUUAAAGAACACUAAGUCACCCCUAAUAUGCCUGUCAUUGUGGGUUACACAAAUGCUAUAUGGCAAAUAUAUGACUAAUACUAAACCCGGUAAAAUAACACAAGGUUCUUAGUAUUUAUCCUUACUACCACAACCAAACAUAUUCGAGAAUCUAGCAUAAAGACUAAUUACAUAACACCUAUCUAUCCACAACUUAACGAUAUUAUCUAAGCAUUCAAUAAUCGCUAACUAAUUAAGCAACAUAAUCACAAUAUUAACCAUCAGCAUGCUACUUAAAUAACUACUAUUCUCAAGAAAUUAUUAAGCAUGCUAUCAACCAAUCAAUCAUCAAUUAAUUAACCUCAACUACUAUCUAAUCAAACCGUUACAAAAUUAGAAACGACCUCCUACCGUGGUCUAUAUUCAAGUAACGGAAACUGCAUGAAAACAAGUUAACAAGCAAUUGAUCAUAACUCACAGUUCAGUUGUUGGUUGAACGUGGCAUUGAUCCCAAAUCCGUCUUCUGCGAUACGAACCCUUUCCCGACCUUCUCAAGUACACCCACGUCUGGACUGACUUCACUCGAUCAGAACCUUCCCUAGGCGUUGACUCAAACCUGGCAGAGUGACUAUUCUCGAAAACUCUCAAAAACUGCCUAAAAAGUUCGUAAAUGAUCGAAACUGAACUUUCUUUCUCUUUUGUUCUCUGUCAUGUUUUUAAGUUGCUUUGAAC
rnacentral:lncRNA from 1 species